rnacentral:lncRNA from 13 species
AUGUACCAGGUGCCCUGGAACUGCAGGCUGCUUCCUGGCCAGGACGGGGGCUGCUGUGCACACGUCGACCCUGAUGCAGAACUGAGGGAGGGGGAGCCUCAGCAGAGGAGCACCUGGCCCCCACCAGCCCAGCACCAGCCUGUCUGCAGCCGGCAGCCCGGGGGACAGCUGGAUGGGUGGGGCUGUGGCAAGAUUCUCUGGGAUGUGGGAUCCCUCCCUGAGCCCAGGCACAGCCUCAAGCUCCCUUCUCCUGGAAAGCCACCUAGAACCUCACCUUCACCUCUGAGCCUCAAAUGCUUGGUGCCUCUACAGGGCCUGCCUUGGAGCCAGACGCCCCUCGCUGCCAGAUGGCCCCCGUGGUACAGCCCCUCGACCUUGUCUGCCUGGGGUCUUGCACCUGCACCCCGCAAUGUGAGCCCUCAGGGGCCAGCCCUAUUCCAGUGGCUGGGACAGGUUUUCCUUCCGAGCCUCACACCUGGGCACCCGUCAGUGUGGGCAGCCCCUAUGUCUCCUGCCUGGUCCUGGACAUCCACCAGGAAGGAUGGGUCUGUAGUACCAGGCUGUCCUGGGACUCUGAUCCAUCACAAAGUGGGUGGGCUGGAUGUGUGCUGA